GGAGGUCCGAACCCACGAGCGUUGAAAAGCUCGGGGAUGACUUGUGGGUAGCGGUGAAAUUCCAAUCGAGCCCGGAGAUAGCUGGUUCUCCCCGAAAUAGCUUUAGGGCUAGCCUCAAGGUGAGAGAUACGGAGGUAGAGCACUGAAUGUCCUAGGGGGUAUUGCACCUACCGAAGACUAUCAAACUCCGAAUGCCGUCAUCUUAUACUUGGGAGUCAGACUGUGGGUGAUAAGAUUCAUAGUCGAAAGGGCAACAGCCCAGAUCGUCAGCUAAGGUCCCUAAAUGUAAGUUAAGUGGUAAAGGAUGUGGGAUUGCACAGACAACCAGGAUGUUGGCUUAGAAGCAGCCACUCAUUCAAAGAGUGCGUAAUAGCUCACUGGUCGAGUGAUCCUGCGCCGAAGAUUUCCGGGGCUAAAACUUACUACCGAAGCUACGGCAUCAGUAAUGAUGGGUAGGGGAGCUUCCCAUACGGGUUGAAGCAUGACCGUAAGGACAUGUGGACAGUAUGGGAGUGAGAAUGUUGGCAUGAGUAGCGAGAUGUGGGUGAGAAUCCCACAGGCCGUAAACCCAAGGUUUCCAGGGGAAGGUUCGUCCGCCCUGGGUUAGUCGGGACCUAAGCUGAGGCCGAAAGGCGUAGGUGAUGGACAACAGGUUGAUAUUCCUGUACUACCGAUAACCGGUUGAGAGAAGGGAUGACACAGUAGGAUAAGCUAAGCACACUGUUGGUUAUGUGUGCCCAAGCAUUGAGGCAGUCAAAGUAGGCAAAUCCGCUUUGAUAAUGCUGGGAUGUGAUGGGGAGCGAAAUUUAGUAGCGAAGUAGCUGAUUUCACACUGUCAAGAAAAGUCUCUAUCGAGGUUAAAGGUACCCGUACCGCAAACCGACACAGGUGGGUGAGGAGAGUAUCCUAAGGCCA
rnacentral:rRNA from 1 species